CUACUAUAGCUCCCCACCUCCGCCAUCGCCACCUCACUCGCCUCCGCCGCCUCCACAUUCUCCUCCACCACCAGCCUAUCCUUACUUGUCGCCACCGCCUCCACCAACACCAGUCUAUUCUCCACCGCCCCCGGUACAUUCUCCCCCACCGCCACCUCCUUGUAUAGAGCCACCUCCUCCGCCGCCCUGUGUAGAGUAUUCACCACCUCCACCACCAUCUCCAACUCCUUACAAGCCGCCACCCUCACCAUCUCCACCGCCUCCACCGGUUCACAAAUCACCACCGCCAGUUCAUUACAGUCCACCACCGCCAGUUCAUUACAGUUCGCCGCCACCACCAGUUCAUUACAGUUCGCCGCCACCACCAGUUCAUUAUAGUUCACCUCCACCACCGUCCCCAUCACCACCAC
rnacentral:lncRNA from 1 species